rnacentral:rRNA from 1 species
UACGUAGGGGGCAAGCGUUAUCCGGAUUUACUGGGUGUAAAGGGAGCGUAGACGGCAGCACAAGUCUGGAGUGAAAUCCCAUGGCUUAACCAUGGAACUGCUUUGGAAACUGUGCAGCUGGAGUGCAGGAGAGGUAAGCGGAAUUCCUAGUGUAGCGGUGAAAUGCGUAGAUAUAAGGAAGAACACCAGUGGCGAAGGCGGCCUACUGGACGGUGACUGACGCUGAGGCUCGAAAGCGUGGGGAGCAAACAGG